CCCGUGGCUUUUGGCUGCCCAGUUUGGAUGCAACCUGUCAGCCCAAGGCUGGAGGGACUGGCUGCCCAAAAUCCACUGGGUUGUUUUUGCUGUUGUUCCUGUUUCUCCCAGUUUCAGCCUGAAAAGCCCCCAGUGCUGGGGACACAGCUCUGUUUGAGCCUGUCCCUGUGAGUAUUUAUCCCACAAAUACCAGCCCUAGCCUGUGCUCUCUGCUGGGACACAGGCGGCCUGUGCCAGCAGCUGAGGAGGAAAAUAUCAGGAGGAAGCCAGUCUUUGGGUUUUCCUUGACUAUUUCCUACUCUUUUCAUCUCCCAUGCCUCUGGUAAUAAAGGUGGUUGUUCCUUUUGCCCCCCUCAUGCUGCCUUUAGGCGUUCCCUACUCCACAUCCCCCUCACACAUGAGCUCUGCCAGGGGCAAUUCCCUAUAAAUUGUUCCUGCCUUCUGUGGAGCAGGACCUUGGGUGGAAACUGGAGUUCUGGAGACUGAAGAAUGUUGACAAGAAGAAUGUCCAGAAUGCAAUAGCUGUCCUCCAGCCAUCUGCCAGCUCUUCAUGGCUUUGCAGAGGUGAGGGAAGGGUGUGUCAGGGCAGCUGUUCCCAGCACCAGGCUGCAACAGGGCCACAAGGAGCUCGGGGGAUUUGACAGGGACCAGCCCAGUGGUUCCCAACUUCCCAACCAUCUCUGAGUACCCCAUUCCCAAAAAGAGGUAAACACCCAUCAGAAAUUCGGGGUUCCUCUGAGGUCUCUAUUGUUUUGGAACCCUGGACUGGUCCAGUUCCAGCCCACAGGAUACCGUGAAAAUUCAGAGUGAAGUCUCCAGAUUUGUGCUGGGCAGCGAGCAGCCUUGACAGGCAUUAAAUGAAAAUGGGUCAAGUACACCACAUCUUUAUGCAUUCUGAAAUUAUGUUGUUGUUUUUUUUUUUUUUUUUCCCACAAAUACAUUUUGAUAUGUGAAAGCAUUUUGUGCUAUUUAUUGCAAUUAUCUCUGAGGAUACAGUUGGUUCUGCUGAAGAUAAGGAGGACCCUGGAAUUCCAGGAACAGCAUUACCAGUGAGAUAAGCAUCAGCCACAAGUGCACAGUGGGUUUCCCUUCCAGACAGAGGAUAUCAGACCCCCAGUCAGAGUGAAAAUCUCCAGCCCUACACAAGCACGACCAGGAAUGUUUUUUCCAGUUGAAGACCUGGCCUGGGAUCAGUGUGACAAAACAGUGAAUUUUGUGCACGAGCUACAUGUCUGCUGAGGGUGUUUUAAAUGCAAGAACAACGCAGCACACUUAUUUUCUGCUUGAAAAGUCUGCACAUAUUGCAGAGGUUUUGGUCAAAGAGCUGCAUUUACUCUCUCACACAUUUUAAUUCAGGCCAUUUGAGAAUAAAAUAUGUACUGAAACGCA